UACGGAGGGGGCGAGCGUUAUUCGGAAUCAUUGGGCGUAAAGGGCGCGUAGGCGGCCCCGUAAGUCUUGGGUGAAAGCCCUCGGCUCAACCGGGGAAGUGCACCCGAAACUGCGUGGCUAGAGUCUCGGAGAGGAUCGUGGAAUUCUCGGUGUAGAGGUGAAAUUCGUAGAUAUCGAGAGGAACACCGGUGGCGAAGGCGGCGAUCUGGACGAUGACUGACGCUGAGACGCGAAAGCGUGGGGAGCAAACGGG
rnacentral:rRNA from 1 species